rnacentral:rRNA from 1 species
UGGCGGCAUGCCUUACACAUGCAAGUCGAACGGCAGCGCGGGGCAACCUGGCGGCGAGUGGCGAACGGGUGAGUAAUAUAUCGGAACGUACCCUGGAGUGGGGGAUAACGUAGCGAAAGUUACGCUAAUACCGCAUACGAUCCAUGGAUGAAAGCAGGGGACCGCAAGGCCUUGUGCUCCUGGAGCGGCCGAUAUCUGAUUAGCUAGUUGGUGGGGUAAAGGCCUACCAAGGCAUCGAUCAGUAGCUGGUCUGAGAGGACGACCAGCCACACUGGAACUGAGACACGGUCCAGACUCCUACGGGAGGCAGCAGUGGGGAAUUUUGGACAAUGGGCGCAAGCCUGAUCCAGCAAUGCCGCGUGAGUGAAGAAGGCCUUCGGGUUGUAAAGCUCUUUUGUCAGGGAAGAAACGGUCGUGGCUAAUAUCCAUGGCUAAUGACGGUACCUGAAGAAUAAGCACCGGCUAACUACGUGCCAGCAGCCGCGGUAAUACGUAGGGUGCAAGCGUUAAUCGGAAUUACUGGGCGUAAAGCGUGCGCAGGCGGUUUUGUAAG